UAGAGUUUUGAUCCUGGCUCAGGACGAACGCUGGCGGCGUGCUUAACACAUGCAAGUCGAGCGGAAAGGCUCCUUCGGGGGUACUCGAGCGGCGAACGGGUGAGUAACACGUGAGUAAUCUGCCCUGUGCUCUGGGAUAGCCACCGGAAACGGUGAUUAAUACCGGAUAUGACACUGUCACGCAUGUGGUGGUGUGGAAAGUUUUUCGGCGCAGGAUGUGCUCGCGGCCUAUCAGCUUGUUGGUGAGGUAAUGGCUCACCAAGGCUUUGACGGGUAGCCGGCCUGAGAGGGUGACCGGUCACACUGGGACUGAGACACGGCCCAGACUCCUACGGGAGGCAGCAGUGGGGAAUAUUGGACAAUGGGCGGAAGCCUGAUCCAGCAACGCCGCGUGAGGGAUGACGGCCUUCGGGUUGUAAACCUCUUUCAGUACCGACGAAGCGAGAGUGACGGUAGGUACAGAAGAAGGACCGGCCAACUACGUGCCAGCAGCCGCGGUAAUACGUAGGGUCCGAGCGUUGUCCGGAAUUAUUGGGCGUAAAGGGCUCGUAGGCGGUUUGUCGCGUCGGGAGUGAAAACCAUGGGCUUAACUCAUGGCUUGCUUUCGAUACGGGCAGACUAGAGGUAUGCAGGGGAGAAUGGAAUUCCUGGUGUAGCGGUGAAAUGCGCAGAUAUCAGGAGGAACACCGGUGGCGAAGGCGGUUUCGGGCAUUACCGACGCGAGGAGGAAAGUUGAGUAACGC
rnacentral:rRNA from 1 species